CAGUCGCCACGGGAAUACGAAGGGGGCUAGCGUUGCUCGGAAUGACGGGGCGUAAAGGGCGCGUAGGCGGCGAUCAAAGUCAGGCGUGAAAUUCCUGGGCUCAACCUGGGGGCUGCGCUUGAUACUUGGUUGCUUGAGUGGGGAAGAGGGUCGUGGAAUUCCCAGUGUAGAGGUUAAAUUCGUAGAUAUUGGGAAGAACACCGGUGGCGAAGGCGGCGACCUGGUCCUUGACUGACGCUGAGGCGCGAAAGCGUGGGGAGCAAACAGGAUUAGAUACCCCUGUAGUCCCUGUCUCUUAUAC
rnacentral:rRNA from 1 species